CCUACGGGAGGCAGCAGUGAGGAAUAUUGGUCAAUGGGCGCGAGCCUGAACCAGCCAAGUAGCGUGAAGGAUGACUGCCCUACGGGUUGGAAACUUCUUUGAUAAAGGAAUAAAGUGAGGCACGUGUGCCUUUUUGUAUGUACGGUAUGAAUAAGGAUAGGCUAACUCCGUGCCAGCAGCCGCGGUAAUACGGAGGAGCCGAGCGUUAUCCGGAUUUAUUGGGUUUAACGGGAGCGUAGAGGGGUUUUUAAGUCAGUGGUGAAAGUUUGCGGCUCACCCGUAAAAUUGCCUUUGAUACUGGCAGUCUUGCGUACAGUUGCGUUAGGCGGACUUC
rnacentral:rRNA from 1 species